AUCUAAAUAGUUUAGUUAUAGAAUAAUAAUUUGUGGUGUUAUAGGUGUGUAUGUUACUUUAGAUU
rnacentral:tRNA from 1 species